rnacentral:lncRNA from 1 species
AUGUUGCCAGAAGGAAUACUUUUCUCAAUAGGUUGCCUUGCCUAUCAUAAGGACAUAAAGAUUGGUGAUGGUCUCUCUCAUCCCAAAGAAAUCCUACACGUUCAGAGUACUUCUUAUUGGGCGCCUGCUAGCAAUGGACCAUAUGGCCAGUCUGUCAAGGAAGAACACGAGUGUCACAGCAAUGCCAGUAAUGACUCAGGCCAUAUCCUGCUGGUCGUAGUAGUUCUCCGUCUCCCCAGAGAGGCUGCUAUUAAAUGACAUAUCAUUGCAGUGGCCAACGAACCAUUUAGAAGGAAGCACUUUACUUUGAAGAAGAUAUCUGAGGGUUUUCAAGUUGAAUGUGAAACUGUGGCCCCCAGUUCUGUACCCAAGACACCGUGUCCCUUUCCUUAAAAUGGACAUCACCUUCUAUUUCCUCACCUGAUUCAAACAGGAUUCUAGAAGACCUGAUGACUGUGUUUCCACAGGCAAGAAGACUCUGAAAACAGCCAAGCCGCACCACUGUGUUUUAGAAGAUACUACAAAAAAACCAACCUUCAUGACAACGUCCUAGAGGCAGGUAAGGGAGCUAUUAGAAGCUGAAACGAAGUACAGACUGUGGAAUCCCAUCAUUGAGGACUAUCAGAGAGAGAGGGAGAAAACCUGAGCAGUGUGGGAGGCUUGGCCCCCAGUCCAGUCAGUGAGGGGGGCGGGAGAUGGGAGUGCAUUAUUUCCUUUGCUCAUCUCACUUCUCUUACACCUUUUGUGUGAACCCUUCACUACCCCAUGAGUGAUUUAAAGUGUUUAAAGAAAUUUACUUCUUUCAACUAUAUAACCCUCUAUUAUAUUCCAAACCAUGUUGUACACAUUAUAUACGUAGAUAUUAGUGCAGAGGUGUGUGUGCACAGUACCACGAGCACUACACUGGAGAGAUGAUCAACCCCACGUAAAUCUGACUCCACGGUACCCGCACGUAACGGAGGGCCAAAAUCUCACCCCCCAAACCAGCUCUGACUCAAACGGGAGCUCUACUACUGUGUCCCCAAGGCAUUUUACUAAAAGGGCUUCGAUCGUCCUCCCGAGAGAAAUGCAGCAGUGCACACUUGGUGUCUUUCUCUUUGUGCCUGGCUACCAAAGCAAGGGGGUUGAACCAAAAGGCACGCUUCAUUCUCCUGAAGCAAGUCAUGCUCAAGAGUCAAAACUCAAGGCCUAGCAACUGGCUGGUUUCCACUUGGAACGGCAACGGCAAGUUCUCAGUCUUUCCAGGCGGAUGGAAGUUUUGGUUUUCACUGGACCAGCCUCAUGUAAAUAGGACUGACUGAAUCUGAUUCAGAACAAUCAAUCCCAAUUUGAUGUACUAUUCCUUUAUCGUAUUAACCUAAAUUGUGUACAAAGCCCCUCAGUGGGUUUUAAAAUGCAGCAGUACCUCAGGCCUUGCUAUAGGUGUAUUUUAAUUCAAUAUUUGCAAAUUGAAUUGUGCUUUGAACGUUUUAUGGAGGUGAGCUUUUAAAAUGCAUCACUUCCUAUAUCAGAUACUUCUAAAGUAAAGUGAAUAGCAACCUCCUCAUUUAUCUUUUGUUUAAAUACAAAUUUUAAUAUACUGAAUCUGUCUAAAGCCAGAACCUUUCCGUAGCUCACUUCUUCUCUUUGGGUCUGUUGGUGAUUUGGGGUUUGUUUUGUUUUGUUUUGUUUUUGUUUUGCAGACUAAACAGAAUUAUGCCAACCCUGUGGUACUAUUUUCUUUAUGCUAUGGGGAAGCGAGUCACAGGUGGCACUGGUCACCAUCCCAUGCUGGGUCACCUGGUCCCUGAGUGGAUAGUUAGGUAUAGAAUCCUUGUUACCCGAGUUAUGGUUCAAUGUCCUUUUCACUGUUACAGUGUCUGCUGCAAGAAGAAAAGGAAAAUAAGGAAGUGGCUACUUACACGUGUCAUUAGGAGGCCUAUCGAUGGCUUUGAAAUUGGCUCGUAAAGGGAAAAACAGAGACUGAACUAAUAAACUCAGUGCCUAAUGAGCAUAACUAAAUCUUUUUGCAGCCUCGAGAUUUUGUAUAGUUUAAUCCUUGUGAAAUAAAAUACACCAUAAUGGCCAUA